CACGUAGGCACCAAGCGUUGUCCGGAUUUAUUGGGCGUAAAGAGCUCGUCGGCGGUUCAGUAAGUCGGGUGUGAAAACUCUGGGCUCAACCCAGAGACGCCACCCGAUACUGCUGUGACUUGAGUACGGUAGGGGAGUGGGGAAUUCCUGGUGUAGCGGUGAAAUGCGCAGAUAUCAGGAGGAACACCAGUGGCGAAGGCGCCACUCUGGGCCGUAACUGACGCUGAGGAGCGAAAGCGUGGGUAGCAAACAGG
rnacentral:rRNA from 1 species